rnacentral:rRNA from 1 species
AGCAGCCGCCGCGGUAAAACGAAGGGUGCAAGCGUUAAUCGGAAUUACUGGGCGUAAAGCGUGCGUAGGCGGUUUGUUAAGUCUGCUGUGAAAUCCCCGGGCUCAACCUGGGAAUGGCAGUGGAUACUGGCAAGCUAGAGUGUGUCAGAGGAUGGUGGAAUUCCCGGUGUAGCGGUGAAAUGCGUAGAGAUCGGGAGGAACAUCAGUGGCGAAGGCGGCCAUCUGGGACAACACUGACGCUGAGGCACGAAAGCGUGGGGAGCAAACAGGAUUAGAUACCCCAGUAGUCCCUGUCUCUUAUAC